UACGAAGGGGGCUAGCGUUGCUCGGAAUCACUGGGCGUAAAGGGCGCGUAGGCGGGUCCUUAAGUUAGAGGUGAAAGCCUGGAGCUCAACUCCAGAACUGCCUUUAAUACUGGGAAUCUUGAGUUCGGAAGAGGUAGGUGGAACUGCGAGUGUAGAGGUGAAAUUCGUAGAUAUUCGCAAGAACACCAGUGGCGAAGGCGGCCUACUGGUCCGAUACUGACGCUGAGGCACGAAAGCGUGGGGAGCAAACAGG
rnacentral:rRNA from 1 species